GUUAUUUAUAAAUCCUUAACAAAUGUUAAUGGAAAUAUUUUUCCUUGUAUGUAUGUGUUGUAUGUAUAUGUUGUAUGUAUGUGUAUGUACUGUAGAUCAUUGUAUUCGUCAUAAAACAUUCUAUCAGAGGAUAAGCAAGAAACAAGCUAUUGAAAUUUAACAAAACGAAGCCGACGAAUUAUGAUUUACUUCAAUGAAUUUAUAAUGUAAUCUUUAAUGAUUUCUACUAAUAACGAUUACAGCAGCUUACGCAAACACGAGCAAAAGUCAGAAUCGAUUAAUCAAGUAUUACGUAAUCACAGGGAAAAUCUAAGAUAUGUGCGAAGAAUAUGGUUUUCGAGUUUUGUGUAUCUUACUUUUGAGAGGUAUUGUCGUGCUACAAAUACUUUGAAGUCAUUAGAAAAUUAUUAAAAUUUUUAAGGAUUAUUAAUAAGAAUAAUACAUCAAUUUCGUAUAAUGAAAUUAAUCUCUAUUCUUGUAUAUAUCUAUUAAAUUUUUCGAUCUUUAUUUUAAUCAAAUUUUUAA
rnacentral:misc_RNA from 1 species